UUGUGAUUAUAGCUCUUUUGCUACUUGUCUAGAAGGUUUCUGCGGUCAGCGGGAAUCACCCAA
ensembl:snRNA U7 U7 small nuclear RNA